rnacentral:rRNA from 1 species
UACGUAGGGCGCAAGCGUUGUCCGGAAUUAUUGGGCGUAAAGAGCUCGUAGGCGGCCAGUUGCGUCCGCUGUGAAAUCCCAGGGCUUAACCCUGGGCGUGCAGUGGAUACGGGGCUGGCUGGAGGCAGGCAGGGGAGAACGGAAUUCCCGGUGUAGCGGUGAAAUGCGCAGAUAUCGGGAGGAACACCGGUGGCGAAGGCGGUUCUCUGGGACGGUACUGACGCUGAGACGCGAAAGCGUGGGGAGCGAACAGG